CUCCCUCAUUGGCCAAACAGUACUUUAUUUAUCAUCUAAUAAGACAAACACACAGAAGCACUUCCCCCAUCAGGUUCCAUUGCCAGAGGCCCAAUAGACUGCUCAAGCCCUGAAACUGACACUCACAUUCCGGGGGCCUGGUUCAGUCUUAUGUUGUUUCCCCAGGAGUUCAGCUCAGUGCUUAGCUGUGGGUGUCUGCUUCUGCUUCCAUCAGCUACUGGAUGAAAGCUCUAGGAUGGCAUUUAAGGAAGUCAUCAAUCUCAUUACAGGGGAAGGGCAUUGAAGGUCGCCCUCAUAUAGUGGAGACCUGCGCUUUCCUGGAUGGAGAUGGAAGAGGAAGGGAUUGGGCAGAGGCUGUGGCCUGGAUGUAAAAUAAAUAGAUGAAUAAAAAAUGAAACAAAGAAAAACGGAAGUGACUAAACAAUGGAUAUUCUCAUUGUCAAUUUUCCAACAACUUUAGUUAGGAAGUCAUUGACAGUGGUCUGUCUGACUUAAGCAGACUUCUGUUUUGCCAUGUUUUUGCUCUUUUGGGAGGCCUGCCACCCAGCUCCCAAAUAAAUCACACUCAGAG
rnacentral:lncRNA from 1 species